UACGUAGGGUGCGAGCGUUGUCCGGAAUUACUGGGCGUAAAGAGCUCGUAGGUGGUUUGUCGCGUUGUUCGUGAAAACUCACAGCUCAACUGUGGGCGUGCGGGCGAUACGGGCAGACUGGAGUACUGCAGGGGAGACUGGAAUUCCUGGUGUAGCGGUGAAAUGCGCAGAUAUCAGGAGGAACACCGGUGGCGAAGGCGGGUCUCUGGGCCGAUAUUGACGCUGAGGAGCGAAAGCGUGGGGAGCGAACAGG
rnacentral:rRNA from 1 species